GGCUCAAUGGUCUAGAGGUAUGAUUCGCGCUUUGGGUUUAUUUCGACUGAAAUGCGCGAGGCCCCGGGUUCGAUCCCCGGUUGAGCCC